rnacentral:tRNA from 1 species
AGUAAAGUCAGCUAAUUAAGCUCUUGGGCCCAUACCCCAAAAAUGUUGGUUCAAAUCCCUCCUGUACUA